rnacentral:rRNA from 1 species
AACGAACGCUGGCGGCAUGCCUAACACAUGCAAGUCGAACGAGACCUUCGGGUCUAGUGGCGCACGGGUGCGUAACGCGUGGGAAUCUGCCCUUGGGUUCGGAAUAACAGUUGGAAACGACUGCUAAUACCGGAUGAUGACGUAAGUCCAAAGAUUUAUCGCCCAAGGAUGAGCCCGCGUAGGAUUAGCUAGUUGGUGAGGUAAAGGCUCACCAAGGCGACGAUCCUUAGCUGGUCAGAGAGGAUGAUCAGCCACACUGGGACUGAGACACGGCCCAGACUCCUACGGGAGGCAGCAGUGGGGAAUAUUGGACGAUGGGCGAAAGCCUGAUCCAGCAAUGCCGCGUGAGUGAUGAAGGCCUUAGGGUUGUAAAGCUCUUUUACCCGGGAUGAUAAUGACAGUACCGGGAGAAUAAGCUCCGGCUAACUCCGUG